AUUGAACGCUGGCGGUAUGCUUAACACAUGCAAGUCGAACGGCAGCACGGUCUGUAGUAAUACAGAAGGGUGGCGAGUGGCGGACGGGUGAGUAAUACGCAGGAAUCUGCCCUAUAGAGGGGGAUAACUCGAGGAAACUCGAGCUAAUACCGCAUAGUCUCUACGGAGUAAAGCUGGGGCAACCUGGCGCUAUAGGAGGAGCCUGCGUCUGAUUAGCUAGUUGGUGGGGUAAAGGCCUACCAAGGCGACGAUCAGUAGGUGGUCUGAGGGGAUGAUCACCCACACUGGGACUGAGACACGGCCCAGACUCCUACGGGAGGCAGCAGUGGGGAAUAAUGGACAAUGGGGGCAACCCUGAUCCAGCAAUACCGCGUGUGUGAAGAAGGCCUUAGGGUUGUAAAGCACUUUAGGCGGGGAAGAAGGUAUGUAUUUUAAGAGAUAACAUAUUUGACGGUACCCGCAGAAUAAGCACCGGCUAACUCUGUGCCAGCCGCCGCCGUAA
rnacentral:rRNA from 1 species